rnacentral:rRNA from 1 species
GAUCCUGGCUCAGAGCGAACGCUGGCGGCGUACUUAACACAUGCAAGUCGAACGAGGAUCAUCGGGUUAGCAAUAAUUCGGUGGUCCUAGUGGCGCACGGGUGAGUAACACGUGGGUGACCUGCCCUUGAGCUCGGGAUACCCCCUCGAAAGGGGGGCUAAUACCGGAUACGUUCCCCGGUUGAAAGAUCGGGGAGGAAAGGUGGCGCAAGCUGCCGCUCUUGGAGGGGCUCGCGGCCUAUCAGCUAGUUGGCGGGGUAACGGCCCACCAAGGCUAUGACGGGUAGCUGGUCUGAGAGGACGACCAGCCACACGGGGACUGAGAACGGCCCAGACUCCUACGGGAGGCAGCAGUCGGGAAUUUUGCCCAAUGGACGAAAGUCUGAGGCAGCAACUCCGCGUGAGGGACGAAGGCCUUCGGGUCGUAAACCUCUUUUCUCAGGGAAGAUACAAGACGGUACCUGAGGAAUAAGCCACGGCUAACUACGUGCCAGCAGCCGCGGUAAUACGUAGGUGGCGAGCGUUGUCCGGAUUUACUGGGCGUAAAGAGCGCGCAGGCGGCUGGUCAAGUCCGAUGUGAAAGCUCCCGGCCUAACUGGGAAAUUGCAUCGGAAACUGAUCGGCUGGAAGGUGGGAGAGGGUAGCGGAAUUCCCGGUGUAGUGGUGAAAUGCGUAGAUAUCGGGAGGAACACCAGUGGCGAAAGCGGCUACCUGGCCCAUUCUUGACGCUGAGGCGCGAAAGCUAGGGGAGCAAACGGGAUUAGAUACCCCGGUAGUCCUAGCCGUAAACGAUGAACACUAGGCGUAGUCGGUAUCGACCCCGGCUGUGCCGUAGCCAACGCAUUAAGUGUUCCGCCUGGGGAGUACGGCCGCAAGGCUAAAACUCAAA